rnacentral:rRNA from 1 species
ACGGGAGGCAGCAGUGGGGAAUAUUGCACAAUGGGGGAAACCCUGAUGCAGCGACGCCGCGUGGGUGAAGAAGUUUUUCGGAAUGUAAGGCCCUAUCAGCAGGGAAGAUAAUGACGGUACCUGACUAAGAAGCCCCGGCUAACUACGUGCCAGCAGCCGCGGUAAUACGUAGGGGGCAAGCGUUAUCCGGAUUUACUGGGUGUAAAGGGAGCGUAGACGGAAUAGCAAGUCUGAAGUGAAAUGUAGGGGCUCAACCCCUGAACUGCUUUGGAAACUGUUGAUCUUGAGUACCGGAGGGGCAGGCGGAAUUCCUGGUGUAGCGGUGAAAUGCGUAGAUAUCAGGAAGAACACCGGUGGCGAAGGCGGCCUGCUGGACGGUAACUGACGUUGAGGCUCGAAAGCGUGGGGAGCAAACAGGAUUAGAUACCCUGGUA